rnacentral:misc_RNA from 1 species
UACGGGGGGGGCGAGCGUUGUUCGGAUUUACUGGGCGUAAAGGGCGCGUAGGCGGUCUCAGAAGUUCUGGGUGAAAGCCCCCGGCUCAACCGGGGAAGUGCCUGGAAAACCAUGGGACUGGAGUGCUGGAGAGGCAAGCGGAAUUUCUGGUGUAGCGGUGAAAUGCGUAGAUAUCAGAAGGAACAUCUGAGGCGAAGGCGGCUUGCUGGACAGACACUGACGCUGAGGCGCGAAAGCUAGGGGAGCAAACGGG